CCACUCAAGAACUUUCUGGCCCCAACGGCCAU
rnacentral:sRNA from 1 species